GGGAUGCGAGGCGCUGGAGUGUCACACAGAUGCUUUGUUUGCUUCAUUCAUCAGUGUCCAAGAUUCAGGAAACUUUUUCUGACUGGCCGCCAGCAUCGCGCCAUCUGUCUCCACCUGUCCAAUAACUGGAGGUGCGGCAUGAGAAAUGGACUUCUGGCGCCUAAACUCAUCUGCAAGAGAACCAGAUGAAGGCGCAAGGUGCAGGCUAAUAGCUGCAAAUUAUAAAAGAGCAACGCUACAAAUAUGUGUUGAAUUAUGCAGCGAUGCACUGGGCUAAUCUGUCAUUAAUAUGCCAUCCUGACCUUUGCUGGUGUUUGUGACUUUCACUGUGAAUAAAUGAUAAAUGAUACCAGAAAAAGAAAGACUGUUUCGUGAUAAGUAUUUCUUUGAACAGCUGUUGUAAGCCACAGAAGUUUGUGCCCCGCUGAGCAUCUGCCUUUGCAAAUUGAUUACCCAGGGGAAGCCCAGACCUGCCCUCCCUCCUCCACAAACUAACCACAGCUGCUGCUUUGAUUAAAAGCUGGAUGGAAGUCCCUGAAUGCAACUUCCCGCUCACAAAAGUCAGACUGCAAAGUGGGAUCGGUAUUAUCUGAAAAGGACGGAGACAAGGUGCCUCUGGGGUAGAACAAUGCUGAAGCUUCCUGUUUGGGUUUUGGAGCAGAGGGUCAUGUGAUCAGGUAUCAGCUAAUGCUAGCAAGUGUAGUUAGCAAGCUAAGCUACAACCACAGACUGUUGUGCAGAAGCACAAACACCUACGCAGACUCAUAGAUAUGUUUUUUUUAACAAUUAACUACACACUGGAUGACUGAUCUGUCAUAUAGUAACACUAAAAAGUGUUUCAAAUGGCCUCAGUACCGUAAACGUGGUCCGGAGGUCGAGUACGGACACUUUGGAGACCACUUGAAGACACUUAGCAAGUUAAAUAUCAGGGAAACAAACACUUCAGAUGCUAGUGACAAACUUUAGACCCUUCUACUGUCUGCACACAAAGGCUCAAGGAAUCGUCCAGGGAGGGUGAGGCUACUGUUCCAGAGAACUGAUUGGUCAGUAGAGGGCCAGUUCAUUUCAUAGCUGCUGAAUCAUCAGGAAACAUGUAAACAUGCAGUUUCUUUGUUCACAGAGCAAAGAUGAAAAGGUCCUCGGGCUGUUACAGUGUAUUAACUCAUGUUCAGCUAGACAAUAAGUAGACAGCAGAAUGAAUAUAGUGUAUAUUUUACAGCACCAGCGCCCACAGAACGUAACAACGGGUAAAAAGGUUUAUUUACAAAGGGCAGGGAAUGUGCAACAGGGGGAUCCAGGUAGAUAUCGCAAAGGUAAACAUUCAGCAGUGACAAGGCAGAGUGGAAUUCGAAAAGCCACUGAAGAUGACCACAGGGAGGACUCUGUGACGGAAGGGAAGAAUAACAAGGCCAGUCGAAGUCAACAAGACAGAAUAACCGGAUCUAAAGCGAGAUGCUGAGCAUCACUACCACACAAGAAGAACGAAGAAGACCGAGCGGAUAAGUUAGGGCUAAGACGGUGUGCAGGUGUGUCAGCAGGCAGAGAGCAGGAAACACAGCAAGGCCACGCCUGUGUUAAAUCCACAACAGUGUCCGGCACCAGUCUAAUGAUUCCUGCCAUGACUUGUUACCUCAUCAGUUCACUGCCCACAAAGCAGAUCUUUUUCUGCUGAAAAGCAAUCACUGGAGAAGAUGAAGCUUGUUGGUCAAUGAAGACAGAAAGUUCCACAGGAAAUUGGCGUCUUGUUCAUCCAGCCUUCACUAAAUUACAUCUUCAUGGACCAAUGAGGAGAAGGUCAUCGAUCUUAUCGACUCCAUGGCGUCAGUCACCCUCCUGAGCAGUGCUGGGGUCAUCUGGUUAACUUGAGGGUAAAAAUAGCAAAAGAGGCGCUCCUAAAGGAGAAAAUGCCUCUGACAUGCAACCAACUUCCUCAAUAUUUAGCCAAACAAAUUCAAACCAGAGAGCCUUACUCUAAUCAGGGGUUAUAAACUCCUCCCAAACAAACCAAAUGACUAAUAUGUAAUUCUAAUUUUAAACACAGAGGGAUGAUGGAGGCGCUCCCUGCGGUUUUGGGGGGAAACAUUAACAUUGACCUUGUGUUGAUUAAAAUAAGAAAAUAAAUUCUGUGUAGUUGUGAAUUUGUGUAGAGAGAAAACUCUGAUUAAGUGCACUGACUUAAUAAGUUACAUCUAUUUCAAAGGCUACAUGCCACGAGUGUAAUCACGAUGAUGAAUACAUAUUCAUACGUCUUUGGUUUACAUUAUUAUGGAUUGUGUGUGCAUCACAGUGCAGAGUCGUUACAGUGGCAUGCAGGGACUGAAAUGUAAUAGUUAUUUAUAUUAGAGGAGAAACUCAAUUGAAUAACUCUGUUUGCAUGCAUGCAGUCAGAACGGUGAGGUCUGAGGUUAAGGAGAUUUAAAAGGACAGUAAUGAUUACUUCAUAAGGUCAGAGACAAGAGACGAUCAUCUGCAAGACCGAAUAUACGAGGUUCACCACAAGCGCUUGAUUUGGUGCAGGACAUGCUGCACCUGAGCGCAUGUACACUGCAGAUUUGGGAUCAUUAAUAAUGAUUUUGUUUGUAAAAAAAACGACAUUUAAAAAUAGGGUUAACACGAUUAACAGAAAACGCUCGUGUAGAUUUCAACAAGGUGGAAUUAAAAACAAAAAAUAAAGUGGAUCUCCAUCUAAUGAUUACAUAAAUGUGGGAUACUUCAAAAUAAAAGCAUGAAUAACAGUCAUAAAUAGAGCCAAGAAGACAAUUAGUUAGAUUCAGGAUAUGCAAAGUGAAGGUUGUGGAGGAGUCGUGCACGAUCAGCACGAUCAGCUUUAUUCUGGGAACAGGAACAGCUGAGAGCUGAAGGUCUCACUGUGCGGGGUCACACUGAUGAAGUGCCGUUAAAGUACCCAACAUGUUCCUUUGAUAUGAAACACUGUGUUUGGUCUCUGCCUGCUCCGUUUGAUAUGUGAAGUUUAUGUUAAAAUCUUAGGUGACCCAACAGCUCUGAGCCCUUUUCCCCACACCAACCAUCACUCCCACCUUGGAAGCGUCAUUCUCUUUGCAUGUGUUUUGCUCUGUUUGCAUUUUUACUUGUUGCAUUUUAUACAUUUGGAGCUUUUUCCCAUGUAUGCUUGUGCUUUUCCCUUGUACAGUAUGUGUUUUGUCCUUAGGGACCACAUUAUAUCGCUGACUCUGGGAAGCCUUUUGCUUAUCUGCUGGUGAAAGAUGUGUUUUGUGCUUGUGUCCCACUUCGCUGUAUUCUGCACCGCUCUGCUCCAUCUAUUUUCUGUUGCUUAUCUGGAGCCGGUGCUCGUGGCAGAAGGGUAAGUAAGGUAGUCCCUCUUCAGGGAAUCCCGAACAGUUACCGAGCCGAAUGAGAUGUAUAAUCUCUCCAGCAUAUUGUAGGUCUGCCCCGGAGUUUCUGUCCAGUUAAGCACAUGCAGAAAACCUCCAAAGGUGCCCCAAACAACCUUGACCGGCUCCUCUUAUUGCAAAGACUCGCGGGCUCGUCUCCAAACUCUUAUCUGUAAGUGUGAUACCAGCACAUGGAAGAAAUUCUUUUUAGUUGAGCGAAAGCUCCCCUGAUUAGAGGCACACAUUGUGACUAACAGCAGAAAGUAGCUUACAGUGUAACGCAUUACAACAAUACUGAGCAGAUAACGGCUGAAGUCACCUCAAGUGUAUUUAAAGAAAGUUCGCUGUACAAUCUUUCACCUGUGAAUGUGUGUCUGAUAGAACAUGAGUACACCUGCUCUCACCACCAAAAGACUUUUGCUGAAACCAAAACUGUAGUUCCUCUAAUGACUUCAGAGGUUCAAUCCUGGCAGACUCGCACAUGUUCGCAGCCUGUUUUUGUGUAACUCACAUAAUUUUUUAAGGUUUCGAGAUGUAAGCUGAUGAUUUCUGCAAGUGAGCAGUAAUCUGAGUAGUGUCACCGUGCUGCUGCUUGAAUUCUAGUGUUUUAUUUACAUGCAUCAUGUGACCUGUGCAGACUUGUCUUCUGUGCUGACUUCUUUUCUUUUCACCGGGCCGGCUUGUGUGUUCAGAGGCGGCGCUUCCUCCAGUGUACCUGUGCUCCUCCUCCCGACACUCCUGGAAACAAUCGCUCACCUGCUACUUAAAGUUUCCCCGCCGUGCACUGAUGGUGCAAUAGAUGUUUUCCUUGUGUUUGUGUAUUUGCUUGUGGAUCCUGUUCUUCUCGUGUGCAGAUGCCUCCCUCAUGUCUAA